AAAACAUUUUUUAAAGAAUUUUAAGUAGAGCCUGCUCACUGAAGUUUUAAAGAGCCGCAGUAUCCUGACUGUGCUAAGGUAGCGUAAUCAUUUGUUAUUUAAUUGAUAGCUUGUAUGAAGGCCUGACGAGAAAAUUUCUUUUUUUCUUAUAAACCAAUAAAUUUAUAUUGGAGUAAAAAAGCUUUAUUCUACCAGAAAGACGAUAAGACCCUAGAACCUUUAUUUAUAUAAAUUUAUUGGGGUGAUACAAAUAUAAACAAACUGUUAUUUUAACCUGCUGUGUGAAUAGUCCUAACUUUUCUAAAAAAAAAAAGGUACUCUAGGGAUAACAGCAUAAUCUCUCUUUAGAGCCCUUAUCGACAGAGAGGAUUUUGACCUCGAUGUUGAAUUGAGGUUUCUUACUUAAAGCAGAAUUUAAUUGAAAGGGUCUGUUCGACCUUUAAUUC
rnacentral:rRNA from 1 species